UACGUAGGUGGCAAGCGUUAUCCGGAUUUAUUGGGCGUAAAGGGGACGCAGGCGGUCUUUUAAGUCUGAUGUGAAAGCCUUCGGCUUAACCGGAGUAGUGCAUUGGAAACUGGGAGACUUGAGUGCAGAAGAGGAGAGUGGAACUCCAUGUGUAGCGGUGAAAUGCGUAGAUAUAUGGAAGAACACCAGUGGCGAAAGCGGCUCUCUGGUCUGUAACUGACGCUGAGGUUCGAAAGCGUGGGUAGCAAACAGG
rnacentral:rRNA from 1 species